AAACAACGAUGAGGGCAUUUUAAAUAAUAAAUCUUUAAAUCAUUCCAAACAUUCAUAAAAGUCUUCAUUAUCUUUUUGAAAAAAAUUUGGAGAUUUCUCUCCUUAGACU